AGAUCGAAGAAAGAGAAUAGAUGGUAGAGAGAGAGCGGCAGGGACACCGCGAUAGAGAGAGAGGGGGGGAGAGAGAGGGAGGCGAUGGGUUCAGGAGAGAGAGGGAGGUAGAGAGACGAUGCGCAAGAGAAAGAGGGAGAGAGAGGGGCGUUCGGUUGAGACAGUGAGAGAGAUAUAAAGAGAGGGGGAGAGAGAGGGAGGCAAUCGGUUCAGGAGAGAGAGGGAGGUAGAGAGACGGUGCGAGAGAGAGAGAUGAGGAGAGAAAGGGAGGCGAUCAAUUUAGGAGAGACAGGGAAGUAGAGAGACGAUGCGAGAGAGAGAGAUGGAGAGAGAGAGAGGAGAGAAGGUUCGGUCUAGGGAAAAGGGUUUCGGCAGAGAGGGUGGGGCGUUUGGUUUAGGAAGGUAGAGAGAAUGGUAGAUAGGAGGAGAAAAAGAGAGUGAUGGAGAGGGAGAGAGAGAGCAAAGGAAAGAGAGGGGCGGACAGUUCAGGGAGAAGGGUAUGGGGAGAGAGAGUGGGAACA
rnacentral:lncRNA from 1 species